CAGUCGCCACGGUAAAACGGAGGGUGCAAGCGUUAAUCGGAAUUACUGGGCGUAAAGCGUGCGUAGGCGGUUCGUUAAGUCUGUUGUGAAAGCCCCGGGCUCAACCUGGGAAUGGCAAUGGAUACUGGCGAGCUAGAGUGUGUCAGAGGAUGGUGGAAUUCCCGGUGUAGCGGUGAAAUGCGUAGAGAUCGGGAGGAACACCAGUGGCGAAGGCGACUGACUGGACAAGUAUUGACGCUGAGGUGCGAAAGCGUGGGGAGCAAACAGGAUUAGAUACCCCCGUAGUCCCUGUCUCUUAUAC
rnacentral:rRNA from 1 species